AGUCGGGCGGCAGCGCGGGGGAACCCUGGCGGCGAGCGGCGAACGGGUGAGUAACAUAUCGGAACGUACCCAGUAAUGGGGGAUAACACAUCGAAAGAUGUGCUAAUACCGCAUACGCCCUGAGGGGGAAAGCGGGGGACCGCGAGGCCUCGCGUUAUUGGAGCGGCCGAUAUCGGAUUAGCUAGUUGGUGGGGUAAAGGCCUACCAAGGCGACGAUCCGUAGCUGGUCUGAGAGGAUGAUCAGCCACACUGGGACUGAGACACGGCCCAGACUCCUACGGGAGGCAGCAGUGGGGAAUUUUGGACAAUGGGGGCAACCCUGAUCCAGCCAUUCCGCGUGAGUGAAGAAGGCCUUCGGGUCGUAAAGCUCUUUCGGCAGGAACGAAACGGCGGGCUCUAACAUAGUCUGUCAAUGACGGUACCUGAAGAAGAAGCACCGGCUAACUACGUGCCAGCAGCCGCGGUAAUACGUAGGGUGCGAGCGUUAAUCGGAAUUACUGGGCGUAAAGCGUGCGCAGGCGGUUAUGUAAGACAGAUGUGAAAUCCCCGGGCUUAACCUGGGAACUGCGUUUGUGACUGCAUGACUGGAGUGUGGCAGAGGGGGGUGGAAUUCCAUGUGUAGCAGUGAAAUGCGUAGAGAUGUGGAGGAACACCGAUGGCGAAUGCAGCCCCCUGGGUUGACACUGACGCUCAUGCACGAAAGCGUGGGGAGCAAACAGAAUU
rnacentral:rRNA from 1 species